UAAACGACUCUCGGCAACGGAUAUCUCGGCUCACGCAUCGAUGAAGAACGUAGCAAAAUGCGAUACUUGGUGUGAAUUGCAGAAUCCCGUGAACCAUCGAGUUUUUGAACGCAAGUUGCGCCCGAAGCCAUCCGGUUGAGGGCRCGCCUGCCUGGGCGUCACGC
rnacentral:rRNA from 1 species